rnacentral:lncRNA from 1 species
GAAUCUUCAAGCUGUUCGGUCAAAGUUCUCCAAAACCGAAGACCAGGAUCGUGGUCUCUCCUCACCGCCGCUGCCCCUUGCUUGCUUCUCCUUCUGCUUCGGUCAACAAACGAACCAGCGAAGUUGUUGAUUUACCGCUUGAAGCCCACGCCUCGUCCGCCAGCGAAGACCCCUGCAGCAGCUCCACCGAAACUCUCUUUCUUCCGCUUCGUUGAAGGUUGAUCGUCCACGAAGCUGCUCCAAGCAUCCACGCGGCCAGCGCACGCCAGCAACGGCUCCACUUGCUUCGGUCAACAACGAGCCCACCGAGGUUUCUACUUUGACCGAGUGGCCGUGCCUUGCUGCCACUUGGCCGCGCCUGCCCCCAGCAUCAGCAACAUCCGUGUCGCCCUCGUUUCCCUAAGCUCGACACCCGCAAGUCACGAAUCCAGCUUUAACCGAGCAGCUGCCAACACCACCGAUCAAGGCAAGCAGUCCAACGAAGCUUAGUCCAGCGAAGAAACUUCUCGGCACAGAAAUCUUUGAGAUGUCCAGUAGCCCAAGUCGUUAGCCAUCUUAGCUCAAGUGGGCCUAGAAAAUCCGUGAAGGUCAGUCAAGCAACCCAUAAAUUGAAGCCCAUGAAGUUGCAGCUCAAUUGAAGCCCAAGUGAAUUUCGCAAGCCCAAUUCAGCAAGGCCAGUUUUCAGCAAUUGUAGUCUUCAAGCCCAGUUUUUGAAGCCCAAUCGCAGCUAGACCCAAGUCCAAGAGCAAGCCCAUUCUAGUGCAAGGACAAAUCUCAUUUGGGCUGAGAUUUGUUGGGCCUAAGCUUAAGGCCCGGUCCAAGUCCGCCGGUGUCGUCGAAAGUCCGAUUUCGGCAGCCGUCGCGUCGCCAUCGCGGUGUUUCGGUCUCCGCUGUUACCAAGUGAGUUUUACUCACUAAUGC